GAAUUUGAGGGUGAUUUGGCUGCAACAUCUGCUACCCUAUUGAUUACCAGCAUUGAUUAGACUGACCUGGCUGGCUAGGCAGGUGUCCCUUUCCUCCCUCACAAUUCUAUGUGUCUCUCUAUGUGCUUGGCCUAAGAGGAUAACCUCAGAGCAAAUAGAGGAGUGAUCUUUAGUCAAGGGCACACAAGUAGCUGCGUUCAUCUCUAGAACCUUCAAACAAGCUCUCAAAAAAGCCCAGUCUGCAAUAUUUCAGAUGCCGAUUCAGUCCCAAUGCCACGGGACUCUGGACUUUUUA
rnacentral:snRNA from 1 species